rnacentral:lncRNA from 1 species
GGUUGUGGCUGUCUGAUCACCCUCAAGGUAGAUCACACCUGCCAUGCUGCUGCGUGUACCAGGUGGUUUGUGGGGAAAAAAAGUCAUUCAAAAAGCUCUUCUGCAGCUCUAAUACUUGACUGGUGAUGUGUCACCUAAAAUUAUCACACAAAUUGUGUGUGAAGACAGCACCUGAACACCAAGCAUGAUUUAAGGUGGGAAGAGCCCUUUUCCUUGGAGGAUGGCAGCAGGCCUGUCUCUCCAGAUCAGGCUGUGGGAUGGGAGCUCCAGCCUUGCAGAACACAACAUGAGCUUCAUCCUCCCUAGAAGGAAAUUCAGGUAUCACCUACCUGAAAAUCCAGCUGCUGCUAUAUGCCAUCCUGGUUACAUCCUAUAGCCAGGUGAUCCUGUAUUCAGAAGAGUUCCCGAAAACUACUGUUACAUCUGUAGCAAUGAUUCAUUUUUCACUGAUGCAGUGACAGCCUAAUCCAUGGACCAGAUGGAGUGGGGCCUUGGGCAAUUGUAAUCAAAGAGCAACAGCCACGGUUUGAAGGAAAGAAGGAUUCCCAGUUGGUUUCCUAUUAAAUGCUUCUAUUUUCGUUUUGUUUUGACUCAAUCGUGUGCAUCACCACGGCCCACUGAACACAUCUGGCUGACAUCUUAGGUUGCAUACCCAGCACAUUACUGUGUUUGCUCAAAGUUUCACUUCUUCCAAAGUCAGUGGCAGUGCUCUGUGGUGGCAAGUUGGUUUAUCCUUUUACUUAGGUGGAGUUGGGGGAGCAACAGAAUCAGUCACAGGCAAAGGUAGGCUGAGAAGAUCCAUCACUGUAAUAAUGAACCAGUCCCAUGCCUCUUCACCAGCAAAAUAUCUUUGUAGAAGCUAAAAGAUUAAUUUAUCGUGGAUUUUGGAGCACAAAAUAUGGCCACUUAGGAAGAGUAUAAUCCUGCUGAGUUACUAUAGAUUGGUCUACUUCAAUCCCUGCCAAAAGAUAUAUCCCACAUCUAAUACUGGCAAUGAACAUUGUUCAUGAAUUGUUACUGGCCAUUUCAUUGGUCUUUGAAAUAAAGGUCUUGAUAUUUUCAGGUGUUGGUGAAUGCAUAACUGUACUUUGUUUUUUCUUUUAAAAUGGUUAAAUUAGAAUAAAAUCUGAUAUUCAGAUUUUUCAUUGUCUCCCAGCUUUCAACUAUUUCAAAGGCUACCUUUUACGCUUCUUGUGAGGAAAAAGUUGCUGGAGGUAUAGAUCCUGUCAUACAUAAUGCUUCCUUAGGUUUUGCAAGACAUUAGAGUUCUUCCAAACAUGUUUUCUAUAUAAACUCUGUAUAAGCAUUUUCAGCAAAUGUAUUUCAAUGAGCUCUGUAGCUAGUUUGGGUUUUGUACAGCUUUACAUUGCAUUUAACUGCCAGAAAGUUACCAAGAGAUAUGGU